CCCACCAGAAGGGCAGGAGGGUCCUGAGGCUCCUUUUCCUGCUGCUUCCCGUCCUGUCUGCUGUUGUCUACUGCUGGGGCUCAACGGUGUGGGGAAAGGGAGCGUUGCGGUCUCCUUAGCGCCUGGAUCGAGUUCAACACAGAGACGGAUCUUCCCGAGUGACCUCCGCAGGGUGGCAGGCUGA